rnacentral:sRNA from 1 species
UCAACUAUAAAGAACACAAGUGUAGAACUGGAUGCAUUAGAUCUAUCUGUUUGCUGCAGAAUAAGUAGUUACUACGGAAUAAGUAAUUACUAGAUAGUUCCAAGCCAUUGAUUACCAUGAUUAUCAAACACAAACCCCUUCGAUCGAGCGUUACAUGCUCCCUCGGAAGCUACCAUCCUUUCGCCAUAAAUACAACUCUUCCCUACUUGGAACUAA